GACGAACGCUGGCGGCGUGCUUAACACAUGCAAGUCGAACGGAAAGGCCCUUUCGGGGGUACUCGAGUGGCGAACGGGUGAGUAACACGUGGGUGAUCUGCCCUGCACUUUGGGAUAAGCCUGGGAAACUGGGUCUAGUACCGGAUAGGACUACGGCCUGCAUGGGUUGUGGUGGAAAGCUUUUGCGGUGUGGGAUGGGCCCGCGGCCUAUCAGCUUGUUGGUGGGGUGAUGGCCUACCAAGGCGACGACGGGUAGCCGGCCUGAGAGGGUGUCCGGCCACACUGGGACUGAGAUACGGCCCAGACUCCGACGGGAGGCAGCAGUGGGGAAUAUUGCACAAUGGGCGCAAGCCUGAUGCAGCGACGCCGCGUGAGGGAUGACGGCCUUCGGGUUGUAAACCUCUUUCAAUAGGGACGAAGCGCAAGUGACGGUACCUAUAGAAGAAGCACCGGCCAACUACGUGCCAGCCGCCGCCGCCGUAA
rnacentral:rRNA from 1 species